CCAACAUGCUGCUAGGUUGAUAAGAUUUUAGAAAUUUUAUUUUUUAUUUAUUUUAUGAUUUUUUAUAAAUGGGGGCCCCAAAUAUAUAGUAGGAUAUAAUGACAAUAGAGAAUGUUUUGUAAUAGGUCAAAGAUUAUUGAUCAUUGAUCUAGUAUCUGCUGUUGUAAUAACAUGUAAUUAAGCGUCAUUCGUUGUAUAAUAACGUAAUUCAGUUAAUUGAAUUGUUGUAGUAAUAUAUUGAUUAGUUUUGUAAAGC